GGUGGUUCGUCGUAUAGAAAUUAAAGUUCACAACCGUAGGAUCUCGUACAAAAAUACAAGAUCGUACGGCUAAGAACAUGUGAUGUAUCCAAAGUAGGACCAAAAGAGAAUCGAAACGGCGCCGUACAGAGGGACUAAAACGGAGAGAGGACGGUCCUCCGUAAUAGAAACAUACAGAGAGAAAAAAAGUUUAAGUCUCUCUGAGUUUGUGUGGUCCCGACAGAGAGAGAGCUGACACAAUUAGUCACUUGUCAGUUCAGAAUCGUCAGUUGUCAGAAUUGACCCUAAUUUAUGCAAAAAGCUCCAUUUAUCGCUAAACCACCAGUUUAAAAUCUUUUUCCCCUAUCUUUGAUACUUUUUUUUUGGCUCCCUUUCUAAUUAAUAGCGAUAUAUUUUACGUAAGGGUACGGUAAAAAACUGUGAGUUACUGCAUGCAUAGAUUUUUCUAUGUAACAUAUGACCAGCUAAAAACUCAUACAAAUAAAAUAUGACCUUUGACAGAAUUUAUAUAUUUUGUGGUGACACAAACACUCUUGUUUUACGUACCCUCUUAUUUAUUUUUUCUUCUGUAAAAGGGGUAAUUGAUUAACAAAUGUG